rnacentral:rRNA from 1 species
GACGGAGGGUGCUAGCGUUGUUCGGAAUGACUGGGCGUAAAGGCGCGUAGGCGGCCGUUUGCGUCGGAUGUGAAAGCCCGGGGCUCAACCCCGGAACGGCAUCCGAUACGGGACGGCUGGAGACCGAGAGAGGUGAGUGGAAUACCCAGUGUAGAGGUGAAAUUCGUAGAUAUUGGGUGGAACACCGGUGGCGAAAGCGGCUCACUGGCUCGGUUCUGACGCUGAGGCGCGAAAGCGUGGGGAGCAAACAGGG